GGCCCUGUGGCGCAACGGUGUUAGCGCGUCUGACUCCAGAUCAGAAGGUUGCGUGUUCAAAUCACGUCGGGGUCA